AACGAACGCUGGCGGCAGGCCUAACACAUGCAAGUCGCACGCUCUUCUUCGGAAGGGAGUGGCGCACGGGUGAGUAACGCGUGGGAACGUGCCCUGGGGCUGGGGAGUAACGGCGGGAAACUGCCGCUAAUACCCGCUACGCCUUGAGAGGGAAGGGAGCAAUCCGCGAGGAUUUCUCCGCCCUGGGAGCGGCCCGCGUUGGAUUAGCUAGUUGGUGGGGUAACGGCCGUACCAAGGCAACGAUCCAUAGCUGGUCUGAGAGGAUGGAUCAGCCACACUGGGACUGAGACACGGCCCAGACUCCUACGGGAGGCAGCAGGUGGGGAAUAGUUGGACAAUGGGCGCAAGCCUGAUCCAGCCAUGCCGCGUCGAGUGAAGAAGGCCUU
rnacentral:rRNA from 1 species